UCGACCGUUCAGGUAUUGAACAGCUCCGUGAAUACCGGACUCCUUGAAGAGAUAAUGGCUCGAUGUACUUUGAAAUUUUUUUUCCCAACUUGAAGCUCGGCGUCGGUCAGGAUGGCAAAAAGGAACAUGUUCCA